rnacentral:lncRNA from 1 species
UUUUAUCAGUAAUGUCUGCUGUACGGCUUCACAUGUAUACACAGAGAAUCGACGGCAAAUGCAUACGUGCGUCCUCUUGUGAAAUAUGGGAGUGAGCUGGCUGGACACCAGAUGGACGCACGCACACACACACACACACACACACACACACACACACCACCCCCCUGCUCCUUUUAGGAGCCUUGUCUCCACGGUGACGGAAGACAAAAAAGGAGGCCUUGGCACAGCUGGUCUUCAACAACUAGAGACAGAGAGGGAGAAGGGAAAAAAAAAAACAGUGAAUGGGUGUUCAGACGCACAGACAGGACAGAGGAAGAGUUAACAAGUGGAAACAGUGACCCGGACAAAGUGAAGUCUCUGACAUUCACUGCAGAGAGUGGAAGGAGGACAAAGACACGAGGAGACUGCAGAGAUGUGAGGGUCAGCGGCAGAGGUCAGGCAGUCUUCAGACUAACUC